AUUGAACGCUGGCGGCAGGCUUAACACAUGCAAGUCGAGCGAGCGGCGGACGGGUGAGUAAUGUCUGGGAAACUGCCUGAUGGAGGGGGAUAACUACUGGAAACGGUAGCUAAUACCGCAUACCAUCAGAUGUGCUCAGAUGGGAUUAGCUAGUAGGUGGGGUAAAGGCUCACCUAGGCCACGAUCCCUAGCUGGUCUGAGAGGGUUGCCAGACAGACUGGAACUGAGGCACGACCCAGAUUCAUACGGAAGGCAGCAGUAGGGAAUAUUGCACAAUGGGCGCAAGCCUGAUGCAGCGAUGCCGCGUGUGUGAAGAAGGCCUUCGGGUUGUAAAGCACUUUCAGAGAAGAGGCGUUACUCGCAGAGGAAACACCGGCUAACUCCGUGCCAGCAGCCGCGGUAAUAC
rnacentral:rRNA from 1 species